rnacentral:lncRNA from 1 species
AAGAUUUUAUGUUAAAAUGUUGAGGGGGGAUCAUAAAAAUAUAUUAACACAAGGAAGACUCUGAUCCUUAUAGAAAGUAUAAACCUGUAAGAAAAUCAAUGGAGAAGGAUAUUGUGAGAAAUAUAAAACUAAAAUUCAGAUUGUAAUGAAAUAUGGCAGACAUAAGAAAAGCACUUAUUUUAACUUUCUUCCCACACACUGGUAAAAUGGGAGAAAACAGACCUGUAAAAAGAAUACAAACAUUCAUAGAGACAAAGAGAAAGGGGUAAGAGAGAUCAUCUAAUGAGCAAUAUCAACUGAAUUUUGCAGGUUCAAAAUCAAAGAUUACAGAAGAGCAACAGGAAAAUCAACUGCUGUGAAUAAGGAGCCUUAGGGAAGAAGAGGAAAGCCAAGAAGCAAGCUCAUUUGUAAAACAGAAACAUAAGAAACUUGGUCAUGGAAGACGCUGGGUGCCUCGGAAGAACUGGGAGUGAAGUAUUGCCAGUCCACAACUACGGAGAUCAUCUUGAAAGUUGCCUCAGAGGGUCAUGGAGUCGUGAGAGACAUGAGAGGAAGCUGGAGCAAAGCCAGGUCCUGUAAUCCUGAAGCUGGAAGCCAGCUGCUGGGUAGUAAGUGUCCCUUCAUUCACUGAAUCAGUCCACAGCAAGAGCAGUGGGAGAAGGUAAUAUUCAUGGAAAACCUACAAAGUGACAGACAUAAUGUUGGGAACUUUACAUAUGUUUUGGCCAUUUAAUACUCACAAGAGCUAGGGCCAAGAACCAAAGGUCUCUGAGGCCCUCCCUCAGUAGGCUCCCUACAAAGUGAAGGCAAUUCAAAGAACAUGCUUAAAAC